GCGCCGAUGGUGUAUGGUACACACGCUGAUGAAAUAUCUUUUCAUCUGGCUUUCCAACGGCGAGCUGGGGUUCGAUUCCCCGUCGGUGCU